rnacentral:tRNA from 1 species
UAGAUUAAAGCCUGCAUAUUGGGUGUUUAGCUGUUAACUAAAAGGUUGUAGGGUAAAUUCCUGCUAAUCUAG